GCGAGGGUGGCGGAACUGGCAGACGCGCUAGACUUAGGAUCUAGUACCGCAAGGUGUGGGGGUUCGACUCCCCCCUCUCGCACCA
rnacentral:tRNA from 7 species